GAUGAACGCUGGCGGCGUGCCUAACACAUGCAAGUCGAACGGAGAUUCCGGACGGAAGUUUUCGGAUGGAAGCCUGUAAUUCUUAGUGGCGGACGGGUGAGUAACGCGUGGGCAACCUGCCCUAUACAGGGGGAUAGCAGCUGGAAACGGCUGGUAAGACCGCAUAAGUCGGUUAAAUCGCAUGAUUUGAUCGGGAAAUGAGCAAUCAGGUAUAGGAUGGGCCCGCGUCCGAUUAGCCAGUUGGCAGGGUAAAAGCCUACCAAAGCGACGAUCGGUAGCCGGACUGAGGGGUCGGACGGCCACAUUGGGACUGAGACACGGCCCAAACUCCUACGGGAGGCAGCAGUGGGGGAUAUUGCACAAUGGAGGAAACUCUGAUGCAGCGACGCCGCGUGAGUGAAGAAGUAUUUCGGUAUGUAAAGCUCUAUCAGCAGGGAAGAUGAUGACGGUACCUGACGAAGAAGCCCCGGCUAACUACGUG
rnacentral:rRNA from 1 species